UACGGGGGGAGCAAGCGUUGUUCGGAUUUACUGGGCGUAAAGGGCGCGUAGGCGGCCACCGCAAGUCGACUGUGAAAUCUCCGGGCUUAACCCGGAAAGGUCAGCCGAUACUGCGGGGCUAGAGUGCAGAAGGGGCAACUGGAAUUCUCGGUGUAGCGGUGAAAUGCGUAGAUAUCGAGAGGAACACCUGCGGCGAAGGCGGGUUGCUGGGCCGACACUGACGCUGAGACGCGAAAGCGUGGGGAGCGAACAGG
rnacentral:rRNA from 1 species